rnacentral:rRNA from 1 species
AUACGGAGGGUGCAAGCGUUAUCCGGAAUCAUUGGGUUUAAAGGGUCCGUAGGCGGACUAUUAAGUCAGAGGUGAAAUCCCACAGCUCGACUGUGGAACUGCCUUUGAUACUGGUAGUCUUGAGUUAUAUGGAAGUAGAUAGAAUGUGUAGUGUAGCGGUGAAAUGCAUAGAUAUUACACAGAAUACCGAUUGCGAAGGCGGUCUACUACGUAUAUACUGACGCUAAGGGACGAAAGCGUGGGGAGCGAACAGGAUUAGAAACCCGAGUAGUCC